rnacentral:rRNA from 1 species
UACGUAGGGAGCAAGCGUUUGUCCGGAUUUAUUGGGCGUAAAGAGCUCGUAGGCGGUUUAGAAAGUCAGGUGUGAAACCUCCAGCUCAACCUGGAGACGCCACUUGAUACUUCUAUGACUUGAGUUCGGUAGGGGUAAGCGGAAUUCCUGGUGUAGCGGUGAAAUGCGCAGAUAUCAGGAGGAACACCGUGUGAAGGCGGGUCUCUGGGCCGUAACUGACGCUGAGGAGCGAAAGCGUGGGGAGCGAACAGG